rnacentral:tRNA from 1 species
AUUUAAAUAGUUUAAAAAAAAUAUUGAUUUGUGGAAUCAAUGAUAUAAAUU